UGGGGAAUUUUGGACAAUGGGGGCAACCCUGAUCCAGCAAUGCCGCGUGUGUGAAGAAGGCCUUCGGGUUGUAAAGCACUUUUGUCCGGAAAGAAAUCGCCCUGGCUAAUAUCCGGGGUGGAUGACGGUACUGGAAGAAUAAGCACCGGCUAACUACGUGCCAGCAGCCGCGGUAAUACGUAGGGUGCGAGCGUUAAUCGGAAUUACUGGGCGUAAAGCGUGCGCAGGCGGUUGUGCAAGACAGAUGUGAAAAUCCCCGGGGCUUAAACCUGGGAAAUGGCAUUUGUGACUGCACGGCUAGAGUGUGUCAGAGGGGGGUAGAAUUCCACGUGUAGCAGUGAAAUGCGUAGAUAUGUGGAGGAACACCGAUGGCGAAGGCAGCCCCCUGGGAUAACACUGACGCUCAUGCACGAAAGCGUGGGGAGCAAACAGGAUUAGAUACCCUGGUAGUCCACGCCCUAAACGAUGUCAACUAGUUGUCGGGUCUUAAUUGACUUGGU
rnacentral:rRNA from 1 species